rnacentral:lncRNA from 1 species
UUUGUUCUGUUUCUCUUUUCUCCCAGAUCCCCUGUUUUGUGGCUCUCAGGUAUCUGCUGUUCACAUGCUUUCCUGUUACUCACAACCACAUGCCAAAUGCUAGCUAAUGGCUGGUUUAUUCUGUUUGUGCUUUUGUACUAUCAUUUUAAAAAAAAACUAAAGCACUUUCACUUCACACAGUGAACCAGCAGGCCAGCUGUUCAUUUUUUGUAUACUAGAUAAUUCACUUCGAAAAUGUCUUACAUCAUUAAAAUUUUUGGUUGAACUGCAGUGUAUUAGGGUUUAUGUGGACACAUCUAUACUUUGAACCCUUUCUGUCUGGCCUCUCACUGGUGUCCAUACGAUAUUGCUUCAUGCUAGGGCUGAUUCAUCUGCUUACCUGCAGGUUCUCACCUGAUUGUGGGUCAAGCUAAUGGGAUUCAGUUAGUGCAAAGUGUACCCAGAAGUAUCAUGUGCAUAUGUACUCCCAAAACCUCAUAGGCUGCGUCGUGCCUUGCAACCUCAUUGCCCUACAUACUUGAGGAGCCAUCCAGAGGUUAUAUAUCGUCGGAUGUCAAGGGAGAGCAAGCUGUUCAGAUUUGCCCUGAUCUUGGCCACUGUGAUUUGAAGAUAUAUGAGCAUAUACCGAAGCGAGUAACUGAAGAGGGAUCCUCUUGGGAUAUAGCUCAUUGCAACAAUGAAGGAAAGAAGUUCCGGCAAAACUGGAGUGAAAAAAAACAAGGCCAUAAACAAAGUUUCUGGCAAUGCUCCAAGUACCAAUCCUUUCUUCAAGACUUUGAUCUGAUGUUUGCUGCAGGAGCUGGAAGUAGAGGAAGGUGACAGAGGCUAGAAGAGCGAGAGGAAAAUUGCCGGACAUACAAUGCAUCAGGAGCACAUUGCAAAGUGAUAUGAGCAAUGCUUGGGUGAGUGCUACCGCAUUUCCCCACUUGGUUUUGUGCAUGCUCUAUGGCCUUACUCUUAAGCUGGCACAUUUUCAGCAGUUUCCCAAAGUUUAGAGAAAUGCAGGAAGACUGUCUCCCUGACACCGCUGUAGGGGCAGGAUCCCAUGGAGACUGAGGGAUGUUCUCUUUCUUAACUUUUCCGUGCAGUACGAACACUGUUAGGCUCUUUCCACAAAUACUUGCUGAAUGGUCAUGGAGGUAAUCUGAAGUUAUUUCUUGCUCUGAUAUAUGAAAUGCUAAGUGUGAAAUGUCUCUCCACUGGUGGUGUUCAUUAAGAUCCUUCUGGAAAUGACAUGCAUCUUCCAGCAGGCUCUAGGUUGGCAGCUGAUAGCUUAACAUAAAUGGG